GUAGAGUUACCAAAGUUUUUAUUUUUAUUUUCUGAAAUUAUUCAAGUUCAAAAAUGUAUUUGAAAAUUUUUCCUGUUUAUGCCCCCGCCAUAGUUUUUCACUUGAGUACAGGGUUGAAUUGGUACCCUUUUAAAGCAACUUCAUGUAAGUGGUCGAUAAGUUUACCCAGAUCUUAUCUAAUUUUACCGGCUUGGUAAACAACAUCCCCGUAAAAUUCAGGACGUACUAUCCAUUCUAUAAAACUUUUCUACAGGUACAACCAAACUUCCAAACCAAAUAUUUGUGUAUAUGAAAGAAUUUAGUAAUGUAAUUAGUAAUUUUAGGUAACAAAAUCAUGACUUAACAUUAUUUACUAGUAGUAGUACAUAGAUUAACGUUCAUUCAUAUCUAAAACAUUGCUACAGAUACAGACUUAAAGAAUGGGUUGUAAUAUCUGAAAACAGCAGAUGGUACCAGAGACAUAUAUACAAAUAUGCAUAUAUCAUGUCUAUGAUGGUGUUAAUGGCAAAUCCCCAUCCAAAAAGGAAUAUUAACAACAGAGAACGAAAAGUCGUCCCUUUUGUCGUAAGUUUAUGUGUAGGGUUUCCUGUGUGGAAAUACUUUGUAUAUAUAAACCUAUAGGAAAGGGCUGUUUAUAUACUUAACUCAUUUCAAGUCAUACAGAAGAAGAUGUGUAUCAUAUGGGUACCAAUGAGAUAACUCUCCAUCUCCGUCCCAGUUAUUGCUGUUUAUAUACUUAACUCAUUGCAAGUCAUACAGAAGAAGAUGUGUAUCAUAUGGGUACCAAUGAGAUAACUCUCCAUCUCCGUCC
rnacentral:lncRNA from 1 species